CCAACGGCAGCCUCGCGCUGGCUGCUGGGGGGAACUGCAGGCGCGGGUUUACACCGGAGACAAACACAAAGUGCUGGAGUAACUGAGCGGGACCAGCGGAGAGACAGACAUAGACAGGCGAUACGCUCCAGGUCGCCACACCGGCUCUCAACAAAGUCUCAUAUUGGCUUCUUUGACUUUCAUUGGCACAACUUUGGUCCCCAUGUUGAUAAACAGCAAGUUUCCAAAGGUGAGGGAAAGACUGGAUGAAAGACUAGGUGUUGAGAGCUCUCAUACCUGCAUGAGGGAGGCAAUUAAACACACCUGAGCAAUUACAAACACCUGUGAAGCCAUGUGUCCCAAACAUUAUGGUGCCCUGAAAUAGGAGGACUAUGUAUAAACACAGCUGUAAUUUCUACAUGGUGAAAUUAAAAUGUAUAAAAAUAUCCUUUAAUAAAAUCUGACAAUGU